GAACAUGUUCUGCAUUUAUUAACGGUAACGAUGCUGCUUCCUUUGGAAUGCCACUGCCGUGGUAGGAAUGCCCAGUGCGCUGUGACUGACACUUUUGUGUGGAUGUGCAUGAAGCUCUUGUUCUAGACUUGUGUGUGCAAAGGGAAAAAAAUUAGUAUUCUUCUCUACUCUUGAUAAUAUGAAAUUAUGGAUGUGACUUUUUAUCAUGAUUGUUGUGCAACUUUUUCUGUAACUGCUUUUAUAUGGCUGAUAAAAUGUGUGUAGUGAAUACAUGUUCAAGGAAAUUUCAGAAGCAAUGAUAAUCAGAUAAUCUAGCAUUACUGAUACUACAAGAGGGGCCUUUUGUAAACAUUUUAAUGUCAAAGCCCCAACUUAUAAAAAAUGCUGCAGUUUCACAGGUUGUGUACAACAGGUCUGUCCCAUUUGGGUAGGACAUGGAUUUGAUAAAGUUUUUGCUAUGUUGUUUACUACAUUUUGAGAUUAAUAAGUAAUCUAUAUUCAUAUUUUUCUGUAAACCUACAUAUUUUGUACAAAGUAUCCUACAAGUUCUGAAACUAUGGGAAGAAAAUGCCAAAGAUAUCUCCAAUUAUGUUGAACAAAGCCAGCAUUGUUUCAACAGAUUAGCAAGGAGAGAGGUAUUUCAGUAAAGGAGAAGUAAAAACAGUUAUUUAAGGACUAUGUUUCUCAAUAAAGUGGAUACUUGCUCCUCUCUUG
rnacentral:lncRNA from 1 species